GGAUGUGAAGGUGAACUGGCCGUGACAUCUGUCACCCCACUGGUCACCAAGGUUAAUGUGGUUGAUCUGGCUGGCUAGGCAGGUGUCCCCCCUCCCCUCUCCCCAGUCCAUGUGAACCCCUCCCAUAGCUCCACUCCUGGUCAAAGACGAUGACCUUCCGCAAACAGAGGAGAAGUGGUCUUUGGUCAUGUGGUCCUUGCCAGAACCCUCCAAACAUGCUCUGGGGGUUUUGCCAUUUUAGGUAUAGUUGUUUACAAUACUUAGAGGCUGGAAGCCUAAAAUGUCCAAAAUACAAAGCUAUUUGAAGAAGUUGCCAAGUUUCUU
ensembl:misc_RNA Gm25320 predicted gene, 25320